UACGUAGGGGGCUAGCGUUGUCCGGAAUCAUUGGGCGUAAAGAGCGCGCAGGCGGUCGUCCAAGUCGCGUGUGAAAGCCCCCGGCUCAACUGGGGAGGGUCACGCGAUACUGGUCGACUCGAAGGCAGGAGAGGGUAGUGGAAUUCCUGGUGUAGCGGUGAAAUGCGCAGAUAUCAGAAGGAACACCGGUGGCGAAGGCGGGUCUCUGGGCCGAUACUGACGCUGAGGAGCGAAAGCGUGGGGAGCGAACAGG
rnacentral:rRNA from 1 species